AGUAACGCUGGCGGCAUGCCUUACACAUGCAAGUCGAACGGCAGCAUGUACCUAGGCUUGCUAGGAUUGAUGGCGAGUGGCGAACGGGUGAGUAAUGCAUCGGAACGUGCCUUUUAGAUGGGGGAUAACGUAGCGAAUAGUUACGCUAAUACCGCAUAUUCUCUGAGGAGGAAAGCAGGGGACCUUCGGGCCUUGCGCUAGAAGAGCGGCCGAUGUCGGAUUANCUAGUUGGUGAGGUAAAGGCUCACCAAGGCAACGAUCCGUANCGGGUCUGAGAGGAUGAUCCGCCACACUGGGACUGAGACACGGCCCANACUCCUACGGGAGGCAGCAGUGGGGAAUUUUGGACAAUGGGCGCAAGCCUGAUCCAGCCAUGCCGCGUGAGUGAAGAAGGCCUUCGGGUUGUAAAGCUCUUUCGGCUGGGAAGAAAUCGCACUCUCUAAUACAGGGUGUGGAUGACGGUACCAGCAUAANAAGCACCGGCUAACUACGUGCCAGCAGCCGCGGUAAUACGUAGGGUGCGAGCGUUAUUCGGAAUUACUGGGCGUAAAGCGUGCGCAGGCGGUUGUGUAAGACAGACGUGAAAUCCCCGGGCUCAACCUGGGAACUGCGUUUGKGGCUGCACGGCUAGAGUACGSCAGAGGGGGGUGGAAUUCCACGUGUAGCAGUGAAAUGCGUAAAGAUGUGGAGGAACACCGAUGGGCGAAGGCAGCCCCCUGGGCCAGUACUGACGCUCAUGCACGAAAGCGUGGGGAGCAAACAGGAUUARAUMCCCUGGUAGUCCACSCCGUAAACGAUGUMAACUAGCUGUUGGUGGGGUUAAACCCAUUAGUAGCGUAGCUAACGCGUGAAGUUGACCGCCUGGGGAGUACGGCCGCAAGGUUAAAACUCAAAGGAAUUGACGGGGACCCGCACAAGCGGUGGAUGAUGUGGAUUAAUUCGAUGCAACGCGAAAAACCUUACCUACCCUUGACAUGCCAGGAACUUGCCAGAGAUGGCUUGGUGCCCGAAAGGGAGCCUGGACACAGGUGCUGCAUGGCUGUCGUCAGCUCGUGUCGUGAGAUGUUGGGUUAAGUCCCGCAACGAGCGCAACCCUUGUCAUUAGUUGCCAUCAUUCAGUUGGGCACUCUAAUGAGACUGCCGGUGACAAACCGGAGGAAGGUGGGGAUGACGUCAAGUCCUCAUGGCCCUUAUGGGUAGGGCUUCACACGUCAUACAAUGGUCGGUCCAGAGGGUUGCCAACCCGCGAGGGGGAGCUAAUCCCAGAAAGCCGAUCGUAGUCCGGAUCGCAGUCUGCAACUCGAUCUGCGUGAAGUCGGAAUCGUAUAGUUUCGCGGAUCAGCAGGCCCNGGUAANUNNUNNCCG
rnacentral:rRNA from 1 species